AACGUAGGUGGCAAGCGUUGUCCGGAAUUACUGGGUGUAAAGGGAGUGCAGGCGGGACGGUAAGUUGGAAGUGAAACCCAUGGGCUUAACCCAUGAACUGCUUUCAAAACUACCGUUCUUGAGUGGUGCAGAGGUAGGCGGAAUUCCCGGUGUAGCGGUGGAAUGCGUAGAUAUCGGGAGGAACACCAGUGGCGAAGGCGGCCUACUGGGCACUAACUGACGCUGAGGCUCGAAAGCAUGGGUAGCAAACAGG
rnacentral:rRNA from 1 species